rnacentral:lncRNA from 1 species
UCUUUGUCUGUCUGCUGGAGUUCAUGCUGAGAUCAUGCAGAGUGAAGCCACCAAGACUUUAUGCGGACUGCUGCGAAUGUUAGUGGAAAGCGGAACGACGGACAAGACAUACCGGAGCUGGUGCACGCUGGGGUUUGUGCAGAGCAUCGCUCUCACGCUGCAGGUGUGCGGCGCCCUCAGCUCCCCGCAGUGGAUCACGCUGCUCAUGAAGGUUGUGGAAGGGCACGCACCCUUCACUGCCACCUCGCUGCAGAGGCAGAUCUUAGCUGUGCAUUUGUUGCAAGCAGUCCUUCCGUCAUGGGACAAGACCGAAAGGGUGAGGGACAUGAAAUGCCUCAUGGAGAAGCUGUUUGACUUCUUGGGGAGCUUGCUCACUAUGUGCUCCUCUGACCUGGUGAAGAGCGGUGCAGUGCCGUCACUCAGAGGUGGGUGGCCGUCUCCCUUCCCUGUGUCCUGGUGAAGAGCGGUGCAGUGCCGUCACUCAGAGGUGGGUGGCCGUCUCCCUUCCCUGUACCCUGGUGAAGAGCGGUGCAGUGCCGUCACUCAGAGGUGGGUGGCCGUCUCCCUUCCCUGUGUCCUGGUGAAGAGCCGUGUAGUGCCGUCACUCAGAGUCGCUGACUGCCACCCACAGCAGCACACUGGCGGAGGAGGUGGUGGCACUGCUGCACACGCUGCACUCCCUGACUCGGUGGAAUGGGCUCAUCAACAAGUACAUCAACUCCCAGCUCCGCUCCAUCACCCACAGCUUUGCGGGAAGGCCUUCCAAAGGGGCCCAGUUAGAUGACUACUUCCCUGAUUCCGAGAACCCUGAAGUGGGGGGCCUCAUGGCGGUCCUGGCUGUGGUCUCUGACAUGCGGACGUGUCGCGUUUGCCCAUUGAAUCAGCUGAAACCAAGUUUGCCUUCCAGGAAGCUGUGCGAGCUUGUGCUUCUGUGCUCCCUGCCGUGGCCUUUAAUGUGAACAACCUGCCCUUCACAGAG